rnacentral:misc_RNA from 1 species
GGUGGUUUGAAAGCAAAGCCUCAAUUUGCAGUCAAGAUUAAUAAAUCUGAUAUUCCCAUGGGUGGCGAUAGAGCAUUUGGCGCUUAUCUGCCUCCAAAACCUCAAAGCUCUGGUAAGGAAUCAGAAUUAAAGCCUUAUUAGAAUAUAGUUAUUUACAAAAUUAUUCCUGCUGAGAUAUUUACUGUGCUAGUGUCUGUUUCCUAAGAUAAUCUGAUGUUGAAGAGAUAGAAAUAUGAGCCAGGCACAAGGACUGAUGAAUUCAGUAUGAUGAUGCAUCCCUUUCUUAUGGAAUAUAUGUGGCAUGAUUCCUCUUGAUAAUUCAACAGCUUUUUAGGUGUUCACUUGAUAAUAUAUUUUGAAAUUGGCCUGUAUAUUAGCUUAAUUAAAAACCUUAUGCAUUGUUUCCUUGAACUUUGAUAUAUCAGACGUAUAAAUGCUGUGUAGUUCAAGAUGUGUCAAGACUAUUCUUUUAUUGGGUUGACAAUUUCAAAUGCAGUAACCUUCUGAAACUAAAUUUGUAACCAAGGCCACAUUUAGUAUCCUGCAUUCCUUAGUCACUUAUGGGAUCAUCCUCAAUUUGCAAACCAUUGAUCAAUUUGUAAGCCUGAAUUGUCAAAAUUUGAGUUAUAGCUUAUCUUAUGUUAGAUCACCAUGGAAUUGAUGGACAUGAUUGUGGUGG